rnacentral:pre_miRNA from 1 species
AGGGGGAGGCCGGAUCCUGGGCUGUGUCCUGCGCUGUUGGAUUCGUGCUCCUGGUGGUGCAGCCCCUU